rnacentral:lncRNA from 12 species
AUGUGGGUUUACUUAGCGAUUCUGAGCCGUCCAGUGAUGUUUAAUAGAUUAAUAUUUUUAAUUCCUUUUGAAAUCUGUGAUCCCCGGUGGGAAUCCUUUCUUGAUUCAAGCUAUUUCCUGCAAGAACACGGUUUCCGUAUUGUUUAUGGCCUUGUCCUUGGCACAGUCCUGGCGCACACCAUCCGCAUGAAGGACACCCAGCAGUGCAGCUCUGAGAGCACCUUGUCGGCCAGGCUGGGACUGCGGAGGGGUCGAGGACACCCUGAGUCCCCCACCUCCUGGACGCACAAGACUUUAGGAAGGCUUUACUCAAAAGCUAAGAUUAUUUCUAAUAAAACCCAGCAGAUGUUUUCUAGCAUGAGAGCUGUUUGCUUAGCACCAGGACUGGCCUGUGCACACAGCUGUAGUCACCAUGUGCCAGUGCUUUCUUUACAGAAGCAAGACUUCAGCUCUCACCCCAGCCCUAGGAAGGUGAUAUCAUAUGGUCAGUCACGUACCUGGGAAAGGAGGAACCUGGAUUUGAACACAAGAGCCCAUGACGGAAGUUUUCACUCCAACGUCAAUGAACUAUAUUUGCUACCAGCUAAUUCAGUGACCACCGUUGUGGAUCAUCCCAGGCUAAUUUCUAAGGCCCUAACCUACCCGUGUUCCCCAACUGUCCUCAGAAAGCAGAGUAAAUGUAUUGUUAGCCUAAACCGGCAUUCUACAACAAACGUAAUUCACACCCAUCCUUCUACCAUGCUAAAAUGCCAGGUGGUUACGCGGAUACAUCAGUCCACACGGGUGGCAUUUAGAACGGCCUGUGCCCUGUGCUACACUUAA